CUCAGUUAAAUUAACACUUCACCCUCUUCCUCCCUCCAUGUACCGACUGUUGGGCAUGGAGUUUGCAAUGGCCCUGGCUGCCUGGACCCACCCUCCUCCAUGCACGCCACGAAGGUCCAACAGUGAUCCCUUCUGCUGCCUGUAUACUUGAGUCUUCCAGGACCUUGGAGAGCUGCCCUAAAACUAUAGGCUGAUGAGAUCAACACCUUUUAGGCGUCCCUGGAAGAGUAUUCCAGAGCCCUCAGAAGGUCAGCCUCCAAGCAGAUCCUUUCCCAUCCACCACGGCUCUCCCCUUCCCCACCCCUGCCUCCUCUAUGAACCUGGAGCCCUGAUUGGCUAAACAGCAGAGGCUCCUGUGAGGCCCAGAAGUGCAGAGGCCAUUUGUCCGGCUGCAUGGGGCUGACUCCGAGAGACGCGCUUGUCAGGCAAGAUCAAUAAAGCUCUGAAUGGAUUGAUA